rnacentral:lncRNA from 1 species
CCCAAAUCUUACUGCUCUUAUUUACUGAAAAGUCUUAUUCUCCCCAUUCUUUGGCCAGAUCAAUGGGAAAUGACAACUUCCUCAACAGCAAGAUUGUGAAGAACGGAAACAAUGUAUACAGAGAUCCAACUCAGGACCUUGUGCUUGCGAGGCAUCGAACUCAGAACCUUGUGCGUGUGAGGCAGGCAGCAGAACCACUGAGCUAAAUCCUCAGCUGCCUGUCUGAGAAAUUCAAGGAGAUCACCAGGACAACAAAUUUACUAAACCCAACUAAGACCAAGAAGAUGACAAACAGGGCUUUCAGAAAUAUUUCAUCUUUCCUUUCCCAACAUAUUAUACCUUCAAAGCCAAGCAGCCUAACAAAUGAGGCCUGUCUGGAAUGAGUAUCAUGAAAUGGACCGGGAAGGGCUCCUUGAGUAGGGUCUGCAGGAAAUCUGUCUGUAUGUGCCCCUCCAUAGCUACAUCAUGUCCUGGUCCCUGGUUGUGUCUGUGAGACUUAGAAACAACCAGCAAGACUUGGGGCUGUACAGUGAAAGCAAUUGGGCCCAACUAGUAAGAGGGCUCAAUGAUGAGA